AAAGGUAGCAUAAUCAUUAGGGGUUUAAUUGGAACCUGGUAUGAAGGGUUGGACAAAGGAAAGACUGUCUUUGUAAUAUAAAUUGAAAUUUACUUUUAAGUGAAAAGGCUUAAAUAAAUCAGAGGGACGAUAAGACCCUAUAAAGCUUUAUAAAUAAUUUAAAUUUGAUUAAUUUUAAAGUAUAAAAAUUGAGUUUAAUUGUUUUAUUUUGUUGGGGUGAUGUGAGUAUAAUUGCUAUUAACUGCUUAUAAGAAAUACUAUAAACGAUAGAGUCUAUAAUUAUGAUCCUUUUUAAAGAUUAAAGAUCUAAGUUACUUUAGGGAUAACAGCGUUAUUUUUUUUGAGAGUUCAUAUCGAAAAAGGAGAUUGCGACCUCGAUGUUGAAUUAAAAUAUCUAUAUAAUGUAGUCGUUAUAUAAGAGGGUCUGUUCGACCUUUAAAUUUUUACAUGAUUUGAGUUCA
rnacentral:rRNA from 1 species